AACAAAAUAACAUAUGAAACCCAAGUAAUGGUAAUUAGAAAUAUACCUUACGAUCUCAUUCUUGGAUGGAAAAGCUUAGGAAACUCAAGAUUAUUAAGUAUCUAGAAGCUGAUGAACUAUAUGUCUCAGAUGGUCUGGGAAUAAAUUUGCAUUCUUGUUUUAUUGCUGAUCAAGAGAACAUUUGGUCCUUGGAUCACCUAAAAACUAUUUUUCCAGGAAUUUUAAAGCAGCAUAUGUCUAGGACUCCCAUAUAUACUGUUGAUUUUAAAUUAAAAGAUCAUCAUAAGUUAGUACAGAAACGACCAUAUAAUCUAUCUGCAC
rnacentral:lncRNA from 1 species